AGGUAGUGACGAAAAAUAACGACGCGGGACUCUGUNGAGGCCCCGCGAUCGGAANGAGNACACUUCAAAUCCGUUAANGAGGACCAACCGGAGGNCAAGUCUNGUGCCAGCAGCCGCGGUAAUUCCAGCUCCGGUAGCGNAUAUUAAAGUNGUUGCGGUUAAAAAGCUCGUAGUCCGAACUCGGGUUCGUGGUCGCUCGCGCGGCCCCGGGGCGGCGGCGCCAUCGUCCGUCGUUGACUUUGGUCGUCCGUUCGCAUUCCCGGCCCUUUCCGCCGGUGUCGACUGCCAUGUACAUCCGCCUCGCGGUCCUGCCGGCGAAAAUCUUUGCGCGGAUGACGUCCGGGGGCGUUCGGGGCGGUCAAGGGUGGGUGNUCGGGAAAAGGGCGGUGGGAAUCAGGGGGGCGUUGGCGGGUUUUGCCUUCGGGCUUCUCUCGCUCUCUUCCCUCCCCCGUCCGUCCCUUCUCGUUCCCCCCCUCGUCUCGUUUUUGUCUCCUCUCGUUGCCGAGUAAUGUUUCGUCGCGCGCGCGUGUUUGCGGUCGGGCGGUUUCUCCUCCAAGGGUGCUCUUAACCGAGUGUCCGCGGCGGCCGGUACGUUCACUUUGAAAAAAUUAGAGUGCUCAGAGCGGGCUGUUCAAGCUUGCAUACGAUAAGCAUGGAAUGAUGGAAGAGGGCCUCGUCUACGUCUGUCGGUCUCCGUCUACGGCGAGGCAAUGAUCGAAGGGAGCGGUCGGGGCCACUCGUAUUGCGACGUUAGAGGUGAAAUUCUUGGAUCGUCGCAAGACGAACUGCAGCGAUGGCGUGUGGCAAGCACGUUUUCCUCGAUCAAGAGCGAAAGUCGGAGGUUCGAAGACGAUCAGAUACCGUCGUAGUUCCGACCGUAAACGAUGCCGACCGGCGAUCCGCCGGCGUUCGCUUCCAUGACCCGGCGGGUAGCCUGCGGGAAACCAGAGUUCGGUUCCGGGGGGAGUAUGGUUGCAAAGCUGAAACUUAAAGGAAUUGACGGAAGGGCACCACCAGGAGUGGAGCCUGCGGCUUAAUUUGACUCAACACGGGAAAACUCACCCGGUCCGGACACCGGUAGGAUUGACAGAUCGAUAGCUCUUUCUCGAUUCGGUGGGUGGUGGUGCAUGGCCGUUCUUAGUUGGUGGAGCGAUCCGUCUGGUUGAUUCCGAUAACGAACGAGACUCCGGCCUGCUAACUAGUGCGCCGAUGUGUGUGCGUUUUUCGCUACGGCGGGCUCGGGCCGUGCGUGUUCGUCGCGCGUUGCCUCGUGCGUGCGUUCGCGUUCGUUUUGUUUCGUCGGUGGCGGCUGUGGGGGGGGAGGAGGUGGCGGUUCUCCGUCGCCUUUUUUUCUUUCCGCAGUCGUCUCGGCGGGGCGGCGGGCGUGGGCGUCGUCGACGGCGCGCGGUCGUGCGUGCGGUUUCCGCCGGGUCCGGGUCGGUUUUCUCACGCACUUCUUAGAGGGACGGGUGGCAGAAAGCCACACGAGGCGGAGCGAUAACAGGUCUGUGAUGCCCUUAGAUGUCCGGGGCCGCACGCGCGCUACACUGGAGGUAUCAGCGGGGACUUCGCCCCGGCCCGAGAGGGCUGGGAAACCUCUCAACCACCUCCCGUGAUAGGGAUCGGGGCCUGUAACCAACCCCGUGAACGAGGAAUUCCCGGUAGGCGCGGGUCAACAGCCCGCGUCGAUCACGUCCCUGCCCUUUGUACACACCGCCCGUCGCUACUACCGAUCGAACGGUCCGGUGAGGUCCUCGGAUCUGGCCGACGACGCCGCCGGGCUGCCUGGUGGCUUCGGCUGCUUGUGUCGCCUCGGCGUUCGACGCCUGGAGAAGACGACCGAACCCGAUCGUUUAGAGGAAGUAAAAGUCGUAACAAGGUUUCCGUAGNNAACUG
rnacentral:rRNA from 1 species